GUGAAUCAUCAAAUCUUUGAACGCAAAUUGCGCUUCCUAGCAUCCCGGGGAGUAUGCCUGUUUGAGGGUCAGUAUUAACAAAAAAAUCGGUUUGGUUGCAAAUUGUGACGUUUCCGGAGUUUGGGCUACCUUAACUUUUUUGGUUAAGGGGCUUAAAAUUGACCUUCUUUGCGCAUUUUUAGACGUACAUAAAUUUUUUUUUUAUUCGUCUAUUCUUAUUGCAAAAUUUUAUUUAGUUCGAUUCAAUUGUGUGGGUUUGGUUC
rnacentral:misc_RNA from 1 species